UACAGAGGUGGCAAGCGUUGUUCGGAAUUACUGGGCGUAAAGGGCGCGUAGGCGGUCUUGUAAGUUCCGUGUGAAAUCCCUCGGCUCAACUGAGGAACCGCACAGAAAACUGCUUGGCUUGAGUUCGGGAGAGGGAAGCGGAAUUCCGGGUGUAGCGGUGAAAUGCGUAGAUAUCUGGAGGAACACCGGUGGCGAAGGCGGCAUCCUGGACCGACACUGACGCUGAGGAGCGAAAGCCAGGGGAGCAAACGGG
rnacentral:rRNA from 1 species